CAGUCGCCGCGGUAAUACGGAGGGAGCUAGCGUUGUUCGGAAUCACUGGGCGUAAAGCGCACGUAGGCGGCUAUUCAAGUCAGGGGUGAAAGCCCGGGGCUCAACCCCGGAACUGCCUUUGAAACUAGAUAGCUUGAAUCUUGGAGAGGCGAGUGGAAUUCCGAGUGUAGAGGUGAAAUUCGUAGAUAUUCGGAAGAACACCAGUGGCGAAGGCGACUCGCUGGACAAGUAUUGACGCUGAGGUGCGAAAGCGUGGGGAGCAAACAGGAUUAGAUACCCCCGUAGUCCCUGUCUCUUAUAU
rnacentral:rRNA from 1 species